UCUCUCUCUAACACGGAGACAUACAAGGAAAGCUGAAGAAAUGGCAAGAGAGGGAGGAAGGUAGGGGAAAGAAUCUGGGUUUCAUCAGAGAUUUUAGUUGGUAUAUUUGAAAGCGAAUUCGUGCUGAUAACGUGUUGUAAACUAAAUAGAUUAUGGAGAGAAUUGAGAUGGAGAGAAGGCAUAGAAGCCUAAUAUUUUAUUGAAUGUUUUCUCUGUCU
rnacentral:lncRNA from 1 species